GGGCAUGUGAACGCCUCUUUCGAUAAAUCCAAACCACACCUGUGCACCUUUGCGUGGGUCGAGAAAUUUCUUGUUCGCAAGUCAGAGUACCGGCUCGCGUCUUUUAUCAACCUUAUGUAUGUCUAAGAAUGUCUUUGAUGUAAUAAAACACAUCUCAAUACAACUUUCAACAACGGAUCUCUUGGCUCUCGCAUCGAUGAAGAACGCAGCGAAAUGCGAUAAGUAAUGUGAAUUGCAGAAUUCAGUGAAUCAUCGAAUCUUUGAACGCACCUUGCACCCUCUGGUAUUCCGGAGGGUACACCUGUUUGAGUGUCGUGAAAUUCUCAACCCUUGCUCCUUUGUUGGAGUUCAAGGGAUUGGACUUGGGGGUCAUUGGCGGUCCUUGCCGGAUCGCCUCCCCUUAAAUGCAGUUGUGCGACUCGUUGUUUCGUAACCUCCGGUGUGAUAAUUAUCUACGUCGUCGGUCUAUCGUUACUGUCAAGAGACGUGCUUUCUAACCGUCCCUCGGGACAAUUUUAUGAAACUUGACCUCAAAUCAGGUGGGACUACCCGCUGAACUUAAGCAUAUCAAUAAGCGGAGGA
rnacentral:rRNA from 1 species